GAGGCUCAGCUGCCUUUCCUUGGACCUAGGCAGGCUGGAGAAGGAUCUCUAAAACCGGGCACGUGGAUUUCAGAGCUGCUCCUGCCAGUCCCUGGUAGCCCAGCCUCUCUGGCAGUGAUGUCACUGGUGGCUUUUGCACAGGCAGGCACCUCAUGCACUGCUGGGGGGGGCAUUGCUCCCCUUUCAGACAGGACUUUGUGCUUAGAAACCCAUCUGCUGCUAAAACAUGCACAUACACAGAGCAUGGGAGGGGAUAUUGCUGUGUGAAACCAAAGAAGGGCCCUUUGUGUGAAUCCAUGGGAUACAAACUGAGAAAAUGUUUCCCUGGACAUCACUGAGAACACAACUGCUCUGGAGAACAGCUCUUUUGUUCAUCCAAGAUCAACAGAGAAGAGGCUGGCAGAGUCCGGGGAGCUGUGUGCCAAACCUGUGGGAAGAAUUGGAGCAAGCAGGCUCAGAGCAGCUGAAAUGAAAUAAAUUUUUUGUUGGAAAAAUUUUAUCCCAUGAACAGUGUUAAACAGUUUGCAGCAUUCAUUUCUGAAAUUUAAAAACAUGAAGGGAGAGGUCAAGUGCUUGCUUGGACUAAUAGCAAAACCUUUUCAAAGUAGAGUUAACAGCCAGCAGUUGAAAACAAAUGAGAUGAUUUCCUUUUGUGUUGGCUGAUGAUGGGAAGUGCCCCUGUGCUGCAGCUGUGGCAGUGCUGUGAUGGUGGGGUUUGUCACAGGAAGGCUGCCUUCAAAGCAAGGGCAAGUGUCCAUGCCAGCUGUCUGAAACAGCAGCACUCCACUAAAUCCCAUCCAGGAAAGGUGAACUUGAACUGAGAGAUUAAAGGAAAGGGGAAUUAUAGGAAAUGGGACUGGGAGAGUUUGGCUUGUUUAGUCUGGCAAAUCACAGACCAAGAGAUGAGCUGAUUGCUGUCUAAAAAUAUCAUAUGGGAAUACAGAGCAGUGAUAGGGGAAUGCAUUGGCUAGGAGCAAAACAUAGAUUAACCAUUAAUUAAUCUAGCCUGGAAACAAGACAGUAUUUAGCCAUUAAAGUAAGAAGAUUUGGGAACAGAGCAAUGUUAAUGCCAGAAUACCAGAGAGAAAAAUACUGCCAUUUUAAAAUAAAGAUACAUCUGGAAGCAUGUGUGAAAGAGAUGAUACUGAAUUCAUGGUGCCCCUGAUGCAGGGAAUGAUUGGCAUUUGACUCUAUUGAUUCAGAAGGUUGAACAAUUGUUUUAUUAAAACUAUACUAUAUUACAUACUAAAGAAAUACUAAAGAAUAUUAAAGAAAUACUAAAGAAUAUUAAAGAAAAAUCUGUGACUGUCUGAGACAGCCAGGACACAGCUUUGACCCAACUGGCCAAGGAAACAAAACAAUCCUCAGCAGAAUCCAACUGACAAAUCUCUUCAGGAAAAACCCUGGGAGAGAACGUCUCUCUCUGUUCAGAGAAUGUGAAUACCACAAGAUGAUGGGAUGUCUCUGUUGUCAUGGCCUGGGACUCAGCGCCCCAUCCAGUCCCUGUCAGCACAGUGAUCCUGUGCUCCCACACAGCCAUCAUCCCUGAGGAAAUGUGCACUGGCUGAAGGGCUGCUCAUCUCAGAUGCCUUCUGCUUAAUCAGUGACCUGUGACCAGAUCCUUCUUUGAACCAGAAGGCAAAGAGGGUUUGUAGAGAAAGGAAGUUCUUCCAAAGCCUUGGUGUGCCUGUGUUGUAAAUGGGCAAUUCCCAGAAAGGGCCAGAAUUUAGGGAGGUGCAAAGAGUCACUGGAUGUUUCAAUGCAGAGUUAAUCUACUUAAUAAAAAGUCUUGUAGGGGGUAUAAAUUCCAAUGCUCAAGCGUAUAGGUGAAACUAUGCUAAACUGGGAUUAGGCUGAAGCCUUGGGUAGAAGUGGUAGAGUUACAUUAUCCCUUGUUUAGCUCUUGUGAGGCUUAGUACAUCUUCAGUGAAGCACCUGAUCCUGGGCAUUGGCAGAAAGAAGUUUUUGGAUUAGAUUUCUUGAGCAGCAUCAAAAUCCCUAGGGUCCUGUUAUUUCCAACUCUUUCAGUCUCUAGCAACCUGGAAGUUAUCCAGGGCAGGAAUUUCAUCAGCUUUUGAGCUCCUGGGGAUGAUCCUGUAUUGCUCUUAAGGAAGCUAAAGUCUAUCAUUUGACAAAAAGUAAUUCUUUCUCCUCCCACCUCUCCUCUGGGGCAGAGGUUUUGGUUCUCACUGUUAGAGAAAUAUGCCCUAUCCAAAUCUGCCCAGUUCAACAGGCCUGCCCAGGCAGGAGCCCCUUUGUGUUCCAACUCACACAACAGGGAGUAGGGGCUGGCCUGAGCAUUGACAGCAGAAAUUAUGUUCCCGUGGCCUUCAAAAGUCUCAUUAAUAAAAGCCUGACCCA